CAAAGUUAAUCAGAUAUUCGGGUGGCACGUUGAACUCAACGUCUUGUGCUCUGAAAAAAGGCUGUGCUACGAAGGGGCCAGCGAAGGUUGUAUGCAAGCUCUCCUGCGAGUUCAGGUUCAGGCCUAAACCCGUGAGAUCCGUACCCAAGGAGAGCGUCACCAGAUUGGGAUCCGUUUCUGCAGCCCGAAUGAACGUCAGCAGGCCAACCAUGCCGAACUGGUUGUUCACCAUGGUCGCUGGUAUGUUUGUGACCUUCCCUAUUUAUGCAAAACGAACGAAAGGAUAGUAUAGCUGUUGGGCUUUUGUGAUGUACACCGAAAUCACCGAAUUAUAAUAUGAAACAAAUAAUAAUAGAAACCAAGAAAUCCAUUGAUUAAAUGGUAUCAAUCAUCCAUAGAGUGUUCAAUUCAAAGCUCCAAAUGAUCAAAAGGUCAAAAAUAGCUCUCUCACAUGUUGUGAGAAGUGUUCCAGCACUCACCAUCUGGCGAAGUUUGCACGCCGCUCUUUACAAGUUUAUCGUUGCUGGAAUUAUCGUUCAGAUGCUCGCCGCCCGCUCCGCUCCCAGACGAGCCGCUUCCACUCCCCAGGCCGCCGCCUACGCCCAUCAUGGCAUUGCUGUUGGGUACGCUGUUGACGCCGCCAAUGCCGCUGUUACUGCCCACCAGUCCUACAUGGGACCCGCCGACAACGCCGCUGGCUGCAUUGCCGCCGACUCCUCCGCCUCCUGAGCUACCAGCUCCUCCGCCGCCGCCUACUGCCAAGCCCCCUAUACCACUGCCAACGGCACCGAGACCAUUGCCGCCUACAACGCCGACGUUGGAACCGCUGCUGCCGCUCGCUGAUCCGCUGACCACUAUCGAAUUCAUCGGCUUUUCCGUGCCGUCCAAGUGGUUCUCUGUGGACGCACCUCCGGAGCCUCCUUAUAAUCCGGAAACACAAUUUCAUUUCAAACUCUAAAUUGCAAAAGCUCUUCAUGGAAUCAGAAGCCCGUAUUCGGUUGGACCAACGUAGCCAAAGUAAAUGUCCUUGACUGAAUCUAGUUUUUGCAGCGUUUGCCAUACCCAAACCAACACCCGAGGUUAGUCCCAAAUACAGCGUAGCAUAUCUAAGUGGGCUUAAUGAGCUGAUCACGAGACACCACGCUUACAACCGAUUCUUAAUCGUAGUUUUAAAAACAAAAAUAAAUAAAAAGAAGUGGAUUUUGAUUUGAACUCACAAGAGGUAAAGAAAUUACCAUAGGGUUUGCUGCCCGGCGGCUGGAGCGGAUUCGAUUGGGGCAGUGUCUGGUCGUUCUGGCCGCGCGCAUUCGUCAGCGAGGGGAACUCCGUGGGAUCGAGCAGGGCAGGCGUGGAGGUGUCGCUACCACCGCCGCCGCCGAACACGUGGAAGUUAUUC
ensembl:ncRNA asRNA:ASTR Antisense transcript of Rga